UCCAGCAUGGUGUAGUGAUUUGAGCAUUGGACUACAACUCUGGUGACCAGGGUUUGAAUCCCUGCUUGGGAA
rnacentral:tRNA from 1 species